GAAGCAGGCCGGUAAGGAACACCUCUCCGUGGCCUCUGCAUCAGCUCCUGUCUCCAGGUUCCUGCCCUCUUUGAGUUCCUGUCCUAACUUCCUUCAGUGAUGAACUACCAACGACUGAUUCUGUGAACUUAACUUCUGUUGGUGCUAGUAAUUGCCUGCUUCUUUUGACUGGUUGUACCCAGAUCCCAAACCAGAUGACAGUCUAUUGACAACAGUGGUAUCUCUGUCCCAUGAAUGGCGUUCUUUUUCUGCUUCCACUUUUGAUGUGGGUGAAUCUGUCCUUGAUGGAAGAUGACAAUUCAGGAGGAGCCAAAGACGCCUGCUUUGAGCCCAAUGUUGAAGUGCCAACUGUCACGGACCACCCCAGCUGGGAGCUGCUUCCGUUGCUUGCUCAGAACCAUUUUCACUGAGCUUGUUCUGGAGCUGGCCUUUUCUGGAGCGAUGUCUUGCGAUGUCUUGUGUCUCUUACCAAGGUGUCUCCCAUCCAGUGGAAUGUUGACAACCUUCAAACCGACAUCUCUUGUCUGCUCAUACACCCAGUGACUAUUGUUCUCCUUCUGAGACAGCGACUUUCUGUGAGCCAAGCUGGUUCUAAUCAUUUCAGUGCUCAAAGCUUUCCGAAGCUGACUGGCCAAAACAAAACAACCAAAGCAAGCAAGCAAGCAAACAAACAAACAAAAAACAUGACACUGGCAUCUUCAAAGUCAGAAAAAGCCAGAUACAGUCGGAAAGAUUGUCUAUGGAUCCAGCCAGAGCAAGUGUUGGAGGAUUUCGACAAGUAAUGAUAUAUAUAUGUAAUUUUUUUUUCCAAGAGAAAAGGAGCAGAAGACAACAUUUGCUGACUUGCCGCCCUCGGGCUUCCAGGUUAGGUUAGUCCUUCGUGCGGAUGAUUUGUUAGAUUGGAAAGAGGAUCACCAAAUAACACAAAUGUCAGUCAAAUAACUUCUCUGACAGAAAGUCCAAUACAGUGUUCUGUGGGUCUUUGUUGUCUUAUUCAGUAUAUUAGUCACUAAAGCUGAUGACAGAUACAAUUUGAACUUCCUAGGCACGGUGCUUGCAUUUUUACACCUUCUCUGUUUUAGACAGGAGGAAACUGAUACUUGGAAUAAGAAUUUUUAAAUGAGGCAUCCAGUUAGUAGUUUUCAAAGCCAGAAGUCAGGGUGGCUAGCCAUUUUAGCUUGCUCUGAACCGUCCUGAAUGUAGCACUGAAUGCUCUGUAUAAUCUCUGGGCUCUUUGCAAGGGAGCACAGUAGGUUCCCUUUCAAAUGAACCUGAAUCUGUAAAAUUCUGAGAACAAAUUUUCUCUGUAAUUAUCUAGUUUUUAUUGGGUCUUCAGAGCUUAGCGAUAUCCCAAUAAAACCAUUCAGUUGGAGAACUAUUAAAAUACUGAUAUUCGUCAUUGGAAAGAGUAAAAGUGACCGAUCCAAAGCUCUUAGAUCAGUGAAUUCUAAGACCUCUUACUUUUAAUGUUCCAGGACAUUUCCAGGACUCUCUACAUCUCUUUUUGUCUGAUGUAGCCUUGGCACUUAAUCUCUGCAGAAGAUCUCUCUUGGCUCUUAUUAACCCUAAGCUAUGGGGACUUGGCUUCCUCAGGCUGGGAUGAACUUGUUCAGUGACAGCACAUGCUCGGUGGCACAGCAGAUGCUUAGCAAAUAAAUAAAUAAAUAAAUAAAUAAUAUUUUUUAAAAAAUUUACUUACUUUUAGCAAAUAAAUAAUGAUUUUACUUAAACAUUUAAUAAAUAUUUAUUUAAAGUAAA
rnacentral:lncRNA from 1 species